GAGGGUGUAGCUCAGUGGUAGAGUGCUUACCUAGCAUGCACAAGGCUCUGAGUUCAAUUCCCAGUACCACCA
rnacentral:tRNA from 1 species